rnacentral:rRNA from 1 species
GACGGUGCCAGCCGCCGCGGUAAUACCGGCGCCUCAAGUGGUAGUCGCUUUUAUUGGGCCUAAAACGUCCGUAGCCGGUCUGAUACAUUCGUGGGUAAAUCAACCAGCUUAACUGGUUGAAUUCUGCGAGGACGGCCAGACUUGGGACCGGGAGAGGUGUGGGGUACGCUCAGGGUAGGGGUAAAAUCCUGUCAUCCUGAGCGGACCACCUGUUGCGAAGGCGCCACACUAGAACGGAUCCGACGGUCAGGGACGAAGCCUAGGGGCACGAACCGGAUUAAAUACCCGGGUAGUCCUAGGUGUAAACGCUGUGGACUUGAUGUUGGGGGUGCUCCGAGCACUCUCAGUGUCGAAGCGAAGGUGAUAAGUCCACUGCCUGGG